UUAUUUUGGAAUUAGAAAAGUCGU
rnacentral:miRNA from 1 species